rnacentral:rRNA from 1 species
GCGCACGGGAGCGCAUGCUCCUGUGUGAAAAACUCCGGUGGUAUGGGAUGGACCCGCGUCUGAUUAGCCAGUUGGCAGGGUAACGGCCUACCAAAGCGACGAUCAGUAGCCGGCCUGAGAGGGUGGACGGCCACAUUGGGACUGAGACACGGCCCAAACUCCUACGGGAGGCAGCAGUGGGGAAUAUUGCACAAUGGGGGAAACCCUGAUGCAGCGACGCCGCGUGAGUGAAGAAGUAUUUCGGUAUGUAAAGCUCUAUCAGCAGGAACGAGACAAGACGGUACCUGACUAAGAAGCCCCGGCUAACUACGUGCCAGCAGCCGCGGUAAUACGUAGGGGGCAAGCGUUAUCCGGAAUCACUGGGUGUAAAGGGAGCGUAGACGGCUGUGCAAGCCUGAAGUGAAAGGCGGGGGCCCAACCCCUGGACUGCUUUGGGAACUGUACGGCUGGAGUGCAGGAGAGGUAAGUGGAAUUCCUAGUGUAGCGGUGAAAUGCGUAGAUAUUAGGAGGAACACCAGUGGCGAAGGCGGCUUACUGGACUGUAACUGACGUUGAGGCUCGAAAGCGUGGGGAGCAAACAGGAUUAGAUACCCUGGUAGUCCACGCCGUAAACGAUGCUUAAAAGGUGUCGGGGGGCAGAGGCCCUUCGGUGCCGCAG